AUACGUAGGGGGCGAGCGUUGUCCGGAAUGAUUGGGCGUAAAGGGCGCGUAGGCGGCCCGGUAAGUCUGGAGUGAAAGUCCUGUUUUUAAGAUGGAAUUGCUUUGGAUACUGUCGGGCUUGAGUGCAGGAGAGGUAAGUGGAAUUCCCAGUGUAGCGGUGAAAUGCGUAGAGAUUGGGAGGAACACCAGUGGCGAAGGCGACUUACUGGACUGUAACUGACGCUGAGGCGCGAAAGUGUGGGGAGCAAACAGGAUUAGAUACCCUGGUAGUCCACACUGUAAACGAUGAAUGCUAGGUGUAGGGGGUAUCGACCCCUUCUGUGCCGCAGUCAACACAAUAAGCAUUCCGCCUGGGGAGUACGGCCGCAAGGUUGAAACUCAAAGGAAUUGACGGGU
rnacentral:rRNA from 1 species